rnacentral:rRNA from 1 species
UGGUGGANCNUGUGGUUUAAUUCGAUGCAACGCGAAGAACCUUACCUACUCUUGACAUCCACAGAAUUCGGCAGAGAUGCCUUAGUGCCUUCGGGAACUGUGAGACAGGUGCUGCAUGGCUGUCGUCAGCUCGUGUUGUGAAAUGUUGGGUUAAGUCCCGCAACGAGCGCAACCCUUAUCCUUUGUUGCCAGCACGUAAUGGUGGGAACUCAAAGGAGACUGCCGGUGAUAAACCGGAGGAAGGUGGGGAUGACGUCAAGUCAUCAUGGCCCUUACGAGUAGGGCUACACACGUGCUACAAUGGCGUAUACAAAGAGAAGCGAACUCGCGAGAGCCAGCGGACCUCAUAAAGUACGUCGUAGUCCGGAUCGGAGUCUGCAACUCGACUCCGNGAAGUCGGAAUCGCNNGNNA